rfam:Corchorus olitorius cultivar O-4 contig04888, whole genome shotgun sequence.
GCUUAUUCUCAGGGCGGGGCGAAAUUCCCCACCGGCGGUAAAUCAGCUUCUGCUGAAAGCCCGCGAGCGCUUUUGCUACCGAGCAAAAGGACAGCAGAUCCGGUGUGAUUCCGGGGCCGACGGUUAAAGUCCGGAUGGGAGAGGGUAACG